UUCUGUGACUUAUGUCUUUAAUUAUAUUUCCAAAUAAGCAUUUGGUAAUGGGUAACAUCAAAUUAUAUUUUCAUAUACCCCUUGCUAUGCUUCUAUGAGAAGUUAGUAUUGUACCAUCCAUCCAUUCCACAAAAUAAAUGCUCCACAAUAUGUGUUGGUCUCUCUCCAGUUUUUAUUAAAAAAAGAGGCACAGGCUAUCGAUAAAAAAUAUGGACACAUGGAGGUCCAAGAAAAAAAAGAAAAAAGAUAGUCAUGCUCUCAAAAGAAUUUACAGAGAGAGAUCAUACAAAAGAAAGGAGUUUCCAUUUCAUCCACCAUAAUUCAUACACGUGCACAUCUUGAUCUGACUGUAUGACUUGUUCUUCUCUUUGGAUCCGGAUUUUUGACUUUGUAAAAUAUGUGAUACAAGUAUGCCUUAACAUUCAUACCCUACCUUGAGGUCCAUAUAAAGCCAUCACUAGAAGUAAUAUAAAGAAAAUCCAAGUCAAAUACCUUGAUAAGGAUAUAUACACAUUGAACGAUCUGAGAGAAUCAAUGAGGAGCUAAGCAAGGUUUGUUUUGAAAACUUAUUAUAAAAUCCCAAACUACUUGACAUGAGGAUUAGAAAUGAUUUGAUUAAAGACCAUUCCAUGCCUCAACUACCCAAGAUAGUAUGAUAGACACUUCAAAGUUCACAGUGCAAGAUAUGGCUUGGAAUAUCUCUUAUGCCUGCGUUAUAUCUUUGGAAGUGAUAUUCUACCUUAGUCCUUUCUCCUUCACUCGAGGAUGAACAAAGGCUAAGAAUGGGGGUGUUGCUGACGGCGCUUAAGUACUAUAUUUAGGCCGUCAAUUCCUGCAUAAAUACAUAAAAGAUGAACAUCAAUCUAGUGGUAGGGAUUUAUUACUAACCACUUCCACAAGUGUUGGUGAAUAUUUGUCUGCACCCUUGCUGGUUGCCGUAUAUGCAAUCUAUUAGAUUUAUUGUAGCAGAUUUUUCUGUGUUCUUUUUUUGAUCCCUAAUAUUCUUCUUUCUUGCUUUCAGAAAAAUAUUUUUCUGACUUUUCAAGCUGUUUCUUCUGGCUGCCUGCUCACUUAGAAAAAAAAAUAUCUCCUUCACUGUUACUUUCUUCAUCAUGAAGCUGGCUUUUCUCUUCGCUUUAUUGUACAAAAAAAAAAGGUUAUGCAGAUUUUUCAAGCCACUUCCCUCUGAAUUCUGAAAAUGAGAUCACAGUACAGUCCCGUUGAUUUGAAUUCUGAACCGUACAUGUCAACAUCAUGCCACCUUAGCUUCGAGGUUGUGCAAAUAUACAAUCCCUCAUAUCCUUAUACUGCUCCUGUAUCUCACCACCAUUGUGAUAUAAACAUAAUCUCACUUAUCCUCUAACAACCAGGUCUUUGUGGUAGCUUUCUCUUGUGUACUCUGGUUUAUGUUCAAAGAUGGGUAUGUCGAUACUGGUGAGUGCAUGAAUGCAUCAUCACAUACUUUCAUGUUUUAGUGCAUGGUGAGGUGGACAAGAUACCGGUAAAAUGUUGCAAUUAUCUUGAACACCACCCAAAAUUCAUGAAUCAAACAUCUCUUUUCUCAUAGUUUUCAGGGACAAAGGGUGAGAACACAAGAAGUAGGUGGGGUACUGUAGAAAUUUUUAGGGAAAAAGACUGUCAACUCAAGAAUUAAGAAGGGGAAAUCAUUAUAGUCAGGUUUUGGCAUUAGUGCAGCACAAACUUUUAUGGUUUACUGAAUGAGGAGGCGGACAAAGGUAACAUCAAAAGGUUGCAAUUAUCCUGAACAGCCAUCAUGGUUCUUCUACGUGCAAUGAGUCAGGUGGUUUGCUCGUGAUAGAAGUUUAUAGGCAACCAAGCAUCUCUGCUAAUUUUUUCUAGCAGUUGGCAACUGUACGUUGUUUUAUAAGUUUUAAUAAUCUGGCAUGUUUCCAUGUCGGCCAAAUUGUUUGAGUAGUUUCUAAUUGUUUAUUUAUAAGUUUUGACUGGACUUGGUCAUGUUCA